GGGCCCUUAGCUCAGUCGGUAGAGCAACUGACUUUUAAUCAGUAGGUCGCUGGUUCGAGCCCAGCAGGGCUCA
rnacentral:tRNA from 1 species